rnacentral:misc_RNA from 1 species
AAAAAAAAAAAAAAGAAAAAAAUUCACCACAGUUAACCCACUUCCACAACACAGUAGAAAAUAAGCUUUGGGAUUAAAAUGGGGUUGUUUUAGUACCAACAAGUAGCUAGAUUUCUAUACUGCCACAAAGUAUUAGACCCAAAAAACUAACAGAUUUUCUAAACGCCACAACCCACAAGAAAGGUUAGGCCAUACGUAUAUCAGUGUUGUCAUCAGGCACCCAGGCGAGGUGAAAUCCAGACAUCCAAGGCAGGUGCCCUGGCGAGGCGAAAUCCAGGCACCUCGCCUGGAAAGCCUCCAGGCAAGGCGACUUCAACCAGGCAAGGCCUAGGUGAGGCGAGAAAACAUGAGAAAAUGAGCGAAAUUGCAAGAAAUUAUAAAUAAAAAAAAAAGUUGAGAGAGAAGCUGUUCAUGGCAACCUUCUCCUCUUUCUUUCUUUCUUUUUUUGGUUAAACAUGUCCAUUUUUUUUUUUUUUCAUUCUUCCCUUCUAUCCUUCCUCAAAUUCAAAAAUUAUUUUACUUUUUUUCUUAAACCAGUAUAU